UCCCUGGUAGCUCAGAUGGUAAAGCAUCUGCCUAUAAUGCGGGAGACCCAGGUUCAAUCUCUGGGUCGGGAA
rnacentral:tRNA from 1 species